UGGAGAGAUAGCGAAGAGGCUAAACGCGGCGGACUGUAAAUCCGCUCCUUCGGGUUCGGGGGUUCGAAUCCCUCUCUCUCCAUC
rnacentral:tRNA from 3 species